AAAUGAAUUGACGGGGACCCGCACAAGCAGCGGAGCAUGUGGUUUAAUUCGAAGCAACGCGAAGAACCUUACCAGGGCUUGACAUGCCCCUGCCCGGUCUAGAGAUAGGCCUUUACCUUCGGGUACAGGGGACACAGGUGGUGCAUGGUUGUCGUCAGCUCGUGUCGUGAGAUGUUGGGUUAAGUCCCGCAACGAGCGCAACCCUUGUCUUUAGUUGCUAACAGCUAGGCUGAGCACUCUAGAGAGACUGCCGAUGACAAAUCGGAGGAAGGUGGGGAUGACGUCAAAUCAUCAUGCCCUUUAUGUCCUGGGCUACACACGUGCUACAAUGGUCGGUACAACGAGUAGCUACUUAGCGAUAAGAUGCAAAUCUCUUAAAGCCGAUCCCAGUUCGGAUUGUAGGCUGCAACUCGCCUACAUGAAGUCGGAGUUGCUAGUAAUCGCGAAUCAGAAUGUCGCGGUGAAUGCGUUCCCGGGUCUUGUACACACCGCCCGU
rnacentral:rRNA from 1 species